rnacentral:rRNA from 1 species
UACGAAGGGGGCUAGCGUUGCUCGGAAUCACUGGGCGUAAAGCGCACGUAGGCGGCUUUUUAAGUCAGGGGUGAAAUCCUGGAGCUCAACUCCAGAACUGCCUUUGAUACUGGGAAGCUUGAGUCCGGGAGAGGUGAGUGGAACUCCGAGUGUAGAGGUGAAAUUCGUAGAUAUUCGGAAGAACACCGAUGGCGAAGGCAGCCCCCUGGGCUGAGAUUGACGCUCAGGCACGAAAGCGUGGGGAGCAAACAGG